rnacentral:lncRNA from 1 species
AGCCACCGCACCCGGCCCCUGAGGGAAUGCUUGAAAUUGCUUUCAUGUAAAAGCACCUACACCCAGGCCCCCCCCACCCACGAACAGCUUCGUGGACAGUUUACUCAGACUGAGUCGAAGGUAAUUUUAAGAUGGAGAAACUGAGCCCGAGAGAGAGAAGAGGAGUCAGCUGAGCCUCCCCCAGAUAAGACAAUCGCCAAAUAUUCUGGGACCUUGCUGGGGGCAGACAGCCCUCCCUGCCCAGCAAUGGGCCUUUGGGAUGUGGCACAAGCUCCCGGGAAACC